UACAGAGGGGGCAAGCGUUGUUCGGAAUUACUGGGCGUAAAGCGCGCGCAGGCGGCUUGACGCGCCCGACGUGAAAGCCCCCGGCUUAACCGGGGAGGGUCGUCGGGUACGGUCAGGCUUGAGGGCGGGAGAGGGUGGUGGAAUUCCCGGUGUAGUGGUGAAAUGCGUAGAGAUCGGGAGGAACACCUGUGGCGAAGGCGGCCACCUGGGCCGACCCUGACGCUGAGGCGCGAAGGCGUGGGGAGCGAACGGG
rnacentral:rRNA from 1 species